CCACGGUUUAAACUCGAGGUUGACUUUGAUGGCGAUUGUCUACAUAUAUAAGAUUCUUACAACUAGAGUUGUAUAAAAAAGGUGGGGUCAUUUUUGGGGUUGUUCAGGGUUCACUUGGAGAGUUAUUUACUUCUGAAUGUUUUUUUAUCUCCUCCAAAAUUACCCAUUAUGUGCAUUAGGACUUAUAUUUCUUUUAUUCCUUUAAACCGAUUUCUUAGCCAAAAUUUGGUUUCAGAAGCAAACAGUAACAAAUGGUAUUGAGAAAAGUACAGCACCUUACUUGUGUCAUUACUAAGUUACUGUAAGAAUUUGGGAGCCAUC
rnacentral:lncRNA from 1 species